AUUUAAUUAAAACAAGGAAACAAAAGAAAUAGAUUUUCAAAACUGAAAGUUAAUAGGAAAUCUAUAUAAAUCUGACAAAUGUAGUUGGUGUUAUCAUGGAACAAAAACAAAAAGGAUUACAAAAAAAAGUUUCAGUAGUGAAUGUUUCGAAAAAAUCAACAAUUCAAUUCGUCACUACUGAUAAAAUGUAAAAUCUUCAGUACCUACUUGAAAUUAUUAAAAACAUUUCAAAAG